rnacentral:rRNA from 1 species
UACGUAGGGUGCAAGCGUUGUCCGGAAUCAUUGGGCGUAAAGCGCGUGUAGGCGGCUCGAUAAGUCCGUUCUGAAAGUCCAGGGCUCAACCCUGGGAUGCGGAUGGAUACUGUCGAGCUCGAGUCCGGAAGAGGCGAGUGGAAUUCCUGGUGUAGCGGUGAAAUGCGCAGAUAUCAGGAGGAACACCAAUGGCGAAGGCAGCUCGCUGGGACGUGACUGACGCUGAGACGCGAAAGCGUGGGGAGCAAACAGG